rnacentral:misc_RNA from 1 species
UACGUAGGGUGCAAGCGUUGUUCGGAAUUACUGGGCGUAAAGCGCGCGUAGGCGGGCUUGUAUGUCGGUUGUGAAAGCCCCGGGCUUAACCUGGGAAUGGCAGCCGAAACUGCAAGUCUUGAGUGCCUAAGAGGAUGGCGGAAUUCCCGGUGUAGAAGUGAAAUUCGUAGAGAUCGGGAAGAACACCUGAGGCGAAGGCGGCUAUCUGGUGGUGCACUGACGCUGAAGUGCGAAAGCGUGGGGAGCAAACAGG